rnacentral:rRNA from 1 species
GACAGAGGGUGCAAACGUUGUUCGGAAUUACUGGGCGUAAAGCGCGUGUAGGCGGCUAUGCAAGUCGGAUGUGAAAGCCCUGGGCUCAACCUGGGGACUGCGUCUGAUACUGGAUGGCUUGAAUCCGGGAGAGGGAUGCAGAAUUCCAGGUGUAGCGGUGAAAUGCGUAGAUAUCUGGAGGAAUACCGGUGGCGAAGGCGGCAUCCUGGACCGGCAUUGACGCUGAGGAGCGAAAGCCAGGGGGAGCAAGCGGGG